rnacentral:rRNA from 1 species
GACGAACGCUGGCGGCGUGCUUAACACAUGCAAGUCGAACGAAGAGCGAUGGAAGCUUGCUUCUAUCAAUCUUAGUGGCGAACGGGUGAGUAACGCGUAAUCAACCUGCCCUUCAGAGGGGGACAACAGUUGGAAACGACUGCUAAUACCGCAUACGAUCUAAUCUCGGCAUCGAGGAUAGAUGAAAGGUGGCCUCUACAUGUAAGCUAUCACUGAAGGAGGGGAUUGCGUCUGAUUAGCUAGUUGGAGGGGUAACGGCCCACCAAGGCGAUGAUCAGUAGCCGGUCUGAGAGGAUGAACGGCCACAUUGGGACUGAGACACGGCCCAGACUCCUACGGGAGGCUGCAGUGGGGAAUCUUCCGCAAUGGACGAAAGUCUGACGGAGCAACGCCGCGUGAGUGAUGACGGCCUUCGGGUUGUAAAGCUCUGUUAAUCGGGACGAAAGGCCUUCUUGCGAAUAGUGAGAAGGAUUGACGGUACCGGAAUAGAAAGCCACGGCUAACUACGU